rnacentral:rRNA from 1 species
GAGGAAUAUUGGUCAAUGGACGAGAGUCUGAACCAGCCAAGUAGCGUGAAGGAUGACUGCCCUAUGGGUUGUAAACUUCUUUUAUACGGGAAUAAAGUGAGGUACGUGUGCCUUUUUGUAUGUACCGUAUGAAUAAGGAUCGGCUAACUCCGUGCCAGCAGCCGCGGUAAUACGGAGGAUCCGAGCGUUAUCCGGAUUUAUUGGGUUUAAAGGGAGCGUAGGCGGACGCUUAAGUCAGUUGUGAAAGUUUGCGGCUCAACCGUAAAAUUGCAGUUGAUACUGGGUGUCUUGAGUACAGUAGAGGCAGGCGGAAUUCGUGGUGUAGCGGUGAAAUGCUUAGAUAUCACGAAGAACUCCGAUUGCGAAGGCAGCCUGCUGGACUGUAACUGACGCUGAUGCUCGAAAGUGUGGGUAUCAAACAGGAUUAGAUACCCUGGUAGUCCACACAGUAAACGAUGAAUACUCGCUGUUUGCGAUAUACAGUAAGCGGCCAAGCGAAAGCGUUAAGUAUUCCACCUGGGGAGUACGCCGGCAACGGUGAAACUCAAAGGAAUUGACGGGGGCCCGCACAAGCGGAGGAACAUGUGGUUUAAUUCGAUGAUACGCGAGGAACCUUACCCGGGCUUGAAUUGCAACUGAAUGAUGUGGAGACAUGUCAGCCGCAAGGCAGUUGUGAAGGUGCUGCAUGGUUGUCGUCAGCUCGUGCCGUGAGGUGUCGGCUUAAGUGCCAUAACGAGCGCAACCCUUAUCGAUAGUUACCAUCAGGUUAUGCUGGGGACUCUGUCGAGACUGCCGUCGUAAGAUGUGAGGAAGGUGGGGAUGACGUCAAAUCAGCACGGCCCUUACGUCCGGGGCUACACACGUGUUACAAUGGGGGGUACAGAAGGCAGCUACACGGCGACGUGAUGCUAAUCCCGAAAGCCUCUCUCAGUUCGGAUUGGAGUCUGCAACCCGACUCCAUGAAGCUGGAUUCGCUAGUAAUCGCGCAUCAGCCACGGCGCGGUGAAUACGUUCCCG